CAAUAGCGUAUAUUAAAGUUGUUGCGGUUAAAAAGCUCGUAGUUGGAUUUCUGCCGAGGACGACCGGUCCGCCCUCUGGGUGUGUAUCUGGUUUGGCCUGGGCAUCUUCUUGGAGAACGUAGCUGCACUUGACUGUGUGGUGCGGUGUCCAGGACUUUUACUUUGAGGAAAUUAGAGUGUUUCAAGCAGGCACACGCCUUGAAUACAUUAGCAUGGAAUAAUAAGAUAGGACCUCGGUUCUAUUUUGUUGGUUUCUAGAGCUGAGGUAAUGAUUAAUAGGGAUAGUUGGGGGCAUUCGUAUUUAACUGUCAGAGGUGAAAUUCUUGGAUUUGUUAAGGACGGACUACUGCGAAAGCAUUUGCCAAGGAUGUUUUCAUUGA
rnacentral:rRNA from 1 species